rnacentral:rRNA from 1 species
AGUGAACGCUGGCGGUAGGCCUAACACAUGCAAGUCGAACGGCAGCACAGUAAGAGCUUGCUCUUACGGGUGGCGAGUGGCGGACGGGUGAGGUAUACAUCGGAAUCUACUUUUUCGUGGGGGAUAACGUAGGGAAACUUACGCUAAUACCGCAUACGACCUACGGGUGAAAGCAGGGGAUCUUCGGACCUUGCGCGAUUGAAUGAGCCGAUGUCGGAUUAGCUAGUUGGCGGGGUAAAGGCCCACCAAGGCGACGAUCCGUAGCUGGUCUGAGAGGAUGAUCAGCCACACUGGAACUGAGACACGGUCCAGACUCCUACGGGAGGCAGCAGUGGGGAAUAGUGGACAAUGGGCGCAAGCCUGAUCCAGCCAUACCGCGUGGGUGAAGAAGGCCUUCGGGUUGUAAAGCCCUUUUGUUGGGAAAGAAAAGCAGCAGGUUAAUACCCCGCUGUUCUGACGGUACCCAAAGAAUAAGCACCGGCUAACUUCGUG